rnacentral:lncRNA from 1 species
UUCCGCCGCGGCGGCGGCCGCGGCCGCGGCGAGGAGCUGGCCGAUGCUGCGGCGGCUCUGGAGGAAGGCGGUGUGGCGCCCGUGCUCUGGCUCUACCACCUCGGGGAGGACAUCAUCUUCUACGGCUUCCUGGCGGCGAUGAUGGCGGCGAACCUCGGCGGCAUCGUGCCCGAGAUCCUCGGCCGCUGGGCCUGCGGCGAGGGCUCCGCCGUGUCGGCCGCUGGCGAGGAGGUCCUCGCGUGCUCCAAGUUCAUUAUAGUGCGCUUCCUCCCGGCUUUCGUCGUCCAGCUCUUCGUGCGCAUCCUCGCCCGCGCCCGGUUCGAAGCCAGGGAGGCGAAGAAGGAGAAGGAGAAGAGGGAGAACAACGAGAAGACAAGCUCGACCGCCAUCAGGGUUGAAUCAUCUAAGGAACAACGUCCAGAAAGUCGAGGAGCACGGCGCUGGGGGCCCAAAGGCUUCAUGCCAUAUGCAAUCUACCUAGCCCCUCCUUUGAUUCAACUUUCUUGUCUUGGCAUUAAGAUGAAAGCCCAUCAUGAGGAAGGAUCUCUUGAAUGGAGGGUGGGCUAUGUGCUUGAUGACUUUGCGAGGUUCACUUCUGCUAUUUUGAUUUCGUUUGUUGGUGUCCCAAGCAUGCUGCUCACAGCGAUGAUUCCCAAGGUGAAGGAUGAUGACACUUCGUCGCAGUGAACUGUUGAAGUUUCAGGGGUUGCUGGUGGUACCUGACUGCUGAGUAACAGGAUGGUUUUUUGGCCGAGUAAUUAACAAGAUCGUGAUGCAACUACUGUUAAUUGGACUAGUGGAGUCCAGUUUCGUUUGCCCUUUCUGUGUUCUGAACCACUCUGGCAUGUCAUACAAUUCUGAACCGCUCUUGGCAUGUCACAUACUUCUGAACCGCUCUUGGCAUGUCAUGUAACUCACCUAGCAAUCGACUAGCGUACUGGUAGGCUUUCUUGUUCAUGUCCCUUGAAUUUCUGGAAAUAUUGUUAAUCUGGCAUGAACACGUGAU